AUUGAACGCUGGCGGCAGGCCUAACACAUGCAAGUCGAGCGGAUGAAGGGAGCUUGCUCCUGGAUUCAGCGGCGGACGGGUGAGUAAUGCCUAGGAAUCUGCCUGGUAGUGGGGGAUAACGUCCGGAAACGGGCGCUAAUACCGCAUACGUCCUGAGGGAGAAAGUGGGGGAUCUUCGGACCUCACGCUAUCAGAUGAGCCUAGGUCGGAUUAGCUAGUUGGUGGGGUAAAGGCCUACCAAGGCGACGAUCCGUAACUGGUCUGAGAGGAUGAUCAGUCACAGUGGAACUGAGACACGGUCCAGCCCCCUGCGGGGGGCAGGAGGGGGGAAUGUUGGACAGGGGGCGAAGGCGUAACCCGGCCGUGCGGGGGGGGUGAGGAGGGUUUUGGGAUUGUAAAGCAUUUAAAGUGGGGAGAAGGGGAAGAAGGUUAAUCCUUGGUUUUUUUGACUUUCCCAAAAGAAAAAGCCCGGGCUAACUCCGUG
rnacentral:rRNA from 1 species